AUGCCCCUGGUUAUUUUGAGGAGCUGGUCACAGUCAAUUGUGAGAUUCUCCAUUUGUCUUAUGUUUUUACUGAAUAUAUCAGCUGAACAUCCCUCGGAUCAGCGCAACGCUUCUGAUGUUUUUCUCAAAUCAUUGUCGGAUAUUGUGCAAGAAUUAGAAUUAAAGAGAAGGAUGGCCAGCCCAAUCAAAGGUAAUGAAUUGCCUGAAGUAAGAGAGCCUACUUGUAUGGAGACAAUUUGGCAGCACGUCAGGAAGAACGCUCCCAUUCACACGCUGAUUACAUGGCGGGGUCACUUUCAAUGCUUAACAGAAAUGAUCCAUUCACCAAAAGGUCCCAGUUUAAGGAAGUCAGGAAAUUUAAAAGACAGCUUAGGAACCAAAGCUCUGGUUCUAGGAAGCAAGUUUCUCGGAAGCCAAAUAGGAUGCAUGCUGAGUUCAAUCUUGGUUCUCAGAAUGUUUCACUCUCAGACAAUAUUUCUCCCAGGAAUUCAUCACCCGAUAAUAAGUUGUCAGUAAAUGGUAACAAAAGCAGAAAGGAUGUUCAGUCUUCUAAACCACCCUCUCUCAGCGGACUUCAGCAAGGAAAUACAUGUAAGUUCAUGAAAUCACCAUUACUGCUACAUGCUGGUUACGAUCAAUCAGAAAUUGAAAUUUAGAUGUUGGUGAGGAAUUUUUAAAGCGUGCAAUGUCUCAGCAUCAGCCACCUUGAGCCAUAGCACUUGGUUUCUUUUAUUUGUUUGUAGUACACUUUGUCACCUCGGUGAGUGUGCAGAUGUGAGAGAGUAAGUGUUGUACGGAGAGACUGUGUCUUUAAACUACAGUAGAAACCGCUUAUAACGACACACGUUUAUAACAGAAUCCCGCUUAUAACGUAAUUUUCGCGCGGUCCCGUUUUUUCGCCCAUAAGAACAAUGUAAAUAAUCCCGCAUAUAACAGAAACGCUUAUAAGAGAAACCGCUUAUAACAGAAAAAAUUUUGGUCCCAAAUCGAAAAAAUUCUGAUAUAAACGAGAUUUUCCCAAAAAAUUUCUGUGCGAGUUUCGGAACAUUACGCACUCUAUCGUCACUCGUCAGACGGUUAGUCCGAGAACUCGAUGUAACGGAAAUACCAUCCCGUCAGUGGCGUGGCGUGCUCCGCGAUGUAUCGAUUGAUCUGUCACUUAAACCUAUGGAAAAGGAUCGCUGAACAUCUUAAUAAUACCGAUGACCCCUGAGAGAUUUUAACCGUCCAUCGUUGCCGUACUCACCCAAAAUUUAUUAACAUUAUUUCACGUCACUUUUAAAAAAAAUGACAGCUUGUUGCAUGGAUUAGUUUACUGUUCGAUUAAAACGAAUUUAUUUCUUCCGCUUAUCAUAAAAUUAAGUACUGCUCGCGAUAAAAUUCAAAUUGACUCAAGAAAUCGGGUAUUUAGCUGUCACGAUGCGGCAUCAGGCAGCGUAAAGACGGACCGGACGGACCCAGUUAUCGCGGAGAGGCGCGGGCCGCGCUGUUGCCACAUAGAACUCAAUAUUUACGCGAAAACCGCUUGUAGCAGAAUCCCGCUUAUAACGUAAUAUUCGGCCGAUCCCGAUGCGUUCUGUUAUAUGCGGUUUCUACUGUAUGAACUUUUAUUUUCGCUUCAAUUUUGGAAAUUUUCCAUACAUGUUUUGCAUUUGCAACAUAAUGCAAAGCAGUGUUUCAAUACUGUGGAGGAAGUCCAGCGGGAAUGUGAUAGGGUGUUUGGCAAUUUAGAAAAUAACCGACUUCCAGGGAUUGCUUAAGACUUAGCAAAGACACUUAAAUCACUGAAACAAUGGAGAGGGGCGAAAUUUCAAGGAUGAUUGAAUGACAAGGAAGAAGAGGUAACUGAGUUUUGGCAGCCGUUAAAUUGAUGCUGUAAACAGAGAACUAAAAACCAACGUAUUUGUUAAAGAAAACGAUUUUAAACUAUAGCGUUAUUUUCAUUCAAUUGGACUAUUUUAAGGUCAGGAAGGUUCCAGUCCAGGAUCUUUAGCUGUCAAAUAAUGAAAAAAUUAAUUAUGGUCACUGCAUUUUUGGAAAAAUCCCAUCGGCCAUCUCAGUUUUAGUUGGUGAAAAAUCACUCUUCUCUUUUAAUUUCAGUGCCUAUGAUUUAUGAUCAAGAAAUUGCUGCAGAAGUUCGCAAAAAAUCCCCUCGAAUCAACAAAUAUGUAAAAAAAGAAACAACUAGUCAAGCAAUCUUAUGUCACAAUUCAUGCAACAUGCACGAUCAAACGUCAAAUUGGAAAUUAUCUACUACAAGAAUUUCCCCACAACAGUCAGUUACCAUUCAAAUUUUAUUUUUGGCCCUAAUUUAAAUAACAGAAGUACUGCUUCCCAAAGUAUUUGGGGUAUCACCUCUCUUUUAAAACCAAGUUUCGAUUCUAGUACGUUCUCCUAUGCCCCAAAUAUUCGAGAAGUCAUCAGUGCCAAAAUCUCGAUCUCAGUAAGUCACAUACCUCUUCAUCUACAAUGAGUUC
rnacentral:lncRNA from 1 species